AUUUGCAUGCUUAAAUUUACGCAACUAGUGAGCUUCUAAUUGAGGUGCGUCUACGGCCGGCUGAAAACUAUUUCCAAACCCCCUCUUCGGCCUAGGUUCUGCCUUGGCUGUUGAGACUUUUUGAAAGGGCACUGUUCGGGGAUGCC
rnacentral:snRNA from 1 species